GACGAAGCGUGCGAACGUUAUUCGGAAUCACUGGGCUUAAAGGGUGCGUAGGCGGUCUGUCAAGUCAGGGGUGAAAUCCUUCGGCUUAACCGGAGAACAGCCCCUGAUACUGACGGGCUCGAGGGAGAUAGAGGCAGCCGGAACUACCGGUGGAGCGGUGAAAUGCGUUGAUAUCGGUAGGAACGCCAGAGGCGCAAGCGGGCUGCUGGAUCUCUUCUGACGCUGAUGCACGAAAGCUAGGGGAGCAAACGGG
rnacentral:rRNA from 1 species